rnacentral:rRNA from 1 species
UUUAUUUAUCCCCGCGCGGGAAAAAAAAUUAAUAUCAAUAAGCGGAGGAAAAGAAACCAACAGGGAUUACCUCAGUAACGGCGAGUGAAGCGGUAAUAGCUCAAAUUUGAAAUCUGGCUUCGGUCCGAGUUGUAAUUUGUAGAAGAUGCUUCGGGUGUGGCUCCGGUCUAAGUUCCUUGGAACAGGACGUCAUAGAGGGUGAGAAUCCCGUAUGUGACUGGGUGCCUUCGCCUAUGUGAAGCUCUUUCGACGAGUCGAGUUGUUUGGGAAUGCAGCUCAAAAUGGGUGGUAUAUUUCAUCUAAAGCUAAAUAUUGGCCAGAGACCGAUAGCGCACAAGUAGAGUGAUCGAAAGAUGAAAAGCACUUUGGAAAGAGAGUUAAACAGUACGUGAAAUUGUUGAAAGGGAAGCGUUUGCAACCAGACUUGCACGUUGUCGAUCAUCCGGUGUUCUCACCGGUGCACUCGAUUUCGUUCAGGCCAGCAUCGGUUUGGGUGGUUGGAUAAAGGCCUUGGGAAUGUAGCUUCUUUCGGGGAGUGUUAUAGCCCUCGGUGCAAUGCAGCCUACCUGGACCGAGGACCGCGCUUCGGCUAGGAUGCUGGCGUAAUGGUUGUAAACGACCCGUCUUGAAACACGGACCAAGGAGUCUAACAUCUAUGCGAGUAUUUGGGUGUCAAACCCAUAUGCGUAAUUAACGUGAACGGAGGUAAGAGCCCUUAAGGGUGCAUUAUCGACCGGUCCUGAUGUCUUCGGAAGGAUCUGAGUAAGAGCAUAGCUGUUGGGACCCGAAAGAUGGUGAACUAUGCCUGAAUAGGGUGAAGCCAGAGGAAACUCUGGUGGAGGCUCGCAGCGGUUCUGACGUGCAAAUCGAUCGUCAAAUUUGGGUAUAGGGGCGAAAGACUAAUCGAACCAUCUAGUAGCUGGUCCUGCGUCUCCUCCUCUCCCGACGAUAAUGAAAAA